rnacentral:lncRNA from 1 species
AUAUGAGGGAACAAAGCUGUUGAUCCUUAAGAAUGAGAAAUACUUGUAUGCUCACGUGACCAAAUUCACUUUUUGGUCACAACCAACAAAAAUUUGACACCUCAUAAGCAAAUAAAUAAAUAUAUAUGAGAGACUGUCUUCAACAAAAGAAAAUGAACAGUAACCACGUCCACAGCCACCACCAACCACCGUCAUCGUUGAACAUAUUUUCCAACGAUGAACCUUAUUCCUUCCACCUCGGCGAGAAAACUCUUUUUCUUGAUG